ACUGAAGUUCAUUCCUCAGAUAGUUUCACAAGUCUCAGUUGGUACCUCUAUCACCAAAAAAUAGGUGGGUAUUACCAAGUAGAAAACACAAAGUCUUAAAGUUUCUUUGCUACUAUCAAAGCAGUUGCUUUAUGGCAAUGAAAGUCUUCUAGAAGACCAAGAAAUAGAAACACAAUAGCAAGUACAUACUCAUAACCACAUGAGGCUCCAUCCAUAAGCAUUUCUAAAUCCGGGUUGUCAAAGAGUUUCCAAGAGAUCAGAGUGAGGAGUUUCAGAAAGAGGUUGACCAGCCCACAUUUGAGCAGCACCCAUUUGCAAAGUAGAUUUCACUCCAGCAGAUCCACCAGAGUGGAAUCAUUGUGCAGAAAGCAUGUUGAUGAGUGAUAGGAAUAUCUUAGAUUCCUACCAUUGAAAUGUUUUGGCUACUCCAAGGAAGGAAUGAUGGAAAGCUGGUUCCUGAACUGCAUGUUCAUCCAUGCCCUUGUGAACAAGUUCCACAGCAGUUAGAGGUGAAAUUAUUGGAGAGGCUUCCACAAAUCUGAGUCACCGAAGGGAAAUUGUAUUACUUUUGUCCUU